AAAUUGAAGAGUUUGAUCAUGGCUCAGAUUGAACGCUGGCGGCAGGCCUAACACAUGCAAGUCGAGCGGAAACGAGUUGUCUGAACCUUCGGGGAACGAUAACGGCGUCGAGCGGCGGACGGGUGAGUAAUGCCUAGGAAAUUGCCCUGAUGUGGGGGAUAACCAUUGGAAACGAUGGCUAAUACCGCAUGAUGCCUACGGGCCAAAGA
rnacentral:rRNA from 1 species